UACGUAGGGGGCAAGCGUUGUCCGGAUUUAUUGGGCGUAAAGAGCGUGUAGGCGGCCAAGCAGGUCAGCUGUGAAAACUCGAGGCUCAACCUCGAGACGUCGGUUGAAACCGCUUGGCUAGAGUCCGGAAGAGGAGAGUGGAAUUCCCGGUGUAGCGGUGAAAUGCGCAGAUAUCGGGAAGAACACCCGUGGCGAAGGCGGCUCUCUGGGACGGUACUGACGCUGAGACGCGAAAGCGUGGGGAGCGAGCAGG
rnacentral:rRNA from 1 species